CAGUCGCCGCGGGAAUACAGAGGGUGCGAGCGUUAAUCGGAUUUACUGGGCGUAAAGCGUGCGUAGGCGGCUAAUUGAGUCAGAUGUGAAAUCCCCGAGCUUAACUUGGGAAUUGCAUUCGAUACUGGUUAGCUAGAGUGUGGGAGAGGAUGGUAGAAUUCCAGGUGUAGCGGUGAAAUGCGUAGAGAUCUGGAGGAAUACCGAUGGCGAAGGCAGCCAUCUGGCCUAACACUGACGCUGAGGUACGAAAGCAUGGGGAGCAAACAGGAUUAGAUACCCCCGUAGUCCCUGUCUCUUAUAC
rnacentral:rRNA from 1 species